rnacentral:rRNA from 2 species
ACGAUGAACGCUGGCGGCGUGCCUAAUACAUGCAAGUCGAGCGAAUGGAUUAAGAGCUUGCUCUUAUGAAGUUAGCGGCGGACGGGUGAGUAACACGUGGGCAACCUGCCCAUUAGACUGGGAUAACUCCGGGAAACCGGGGCUAAUACCGGAUAACAUUUUGAACUGCAUGGUUCAAAAUUGAAAGGCGGCUUCGGCUGUCACUUNUGGAUGGACCCGCGUCGCAUUAGCUAGUUGGUGAGGUAACGGCUCACCAAGGCAACGAUGCGUAGCCGACCUGAGAGGGUGAUCGGCCACACUGGGACUGAGACACGGCCCAGACUCCUACGGGAGGCAGCAGUAGGGAAUCUUCCGCAAUGGACGAAAGUCUGACGGAGCAACGCCGCGUGAGUGAUGAAGGCUUUCGGAUCGUAAAACUCUGUUGUUAGGGAAGAACAAGUGCUAUUUGAAUUGGCUGGCCCCUUGACGGUCCCUAUCCAAAAAGCCACGGUUAACUACUUGCCACCAGCCGCGGUAUUACUUAGGUGGCAAGCGUUAUCCGGAAUUAUGGGGCGUAAAGCSCSCCCAGGUGGUUUCUUAAUUCUGAUGUGAAACCCCACGGCUCACCCGUGAAGGGUCAUUGGAAACUGGG